UACAGAGGGUGCGAGCGUUGUUCGGAAUUAUUGGGCGUAAAGCGCUUGUAGGCGGCUUGUUAAGUCGCGUGUGAAAUCCCCAGGCUUAACCUGGGAAGUGCGCGCGAAACUGGCGAGCUUGAAUGCCGGAGAGGGUCGCGGAAUUCCCGGUGUAGAGGUGAAAUUCGUAGAUAUCGGGAGGAAGCACCAGUGGCGAAGGCGGGCGACCUGGA
rnacentral:rRNA from 1 species